rnacentral:rRNA from 1 species
UCAACAACCACAGAGGCAGCGCGCCAAAACAAGGAUACUAUCCUUCUGGAUAUUGUAAUCCUCCAGGGUGCCGCCAUCCUCCAGCGGCCUACAACCAUAGCUGAUGCGCUGCUGUAUUGGGCGAGUGCCAUCUUUCUCGUAGAUCUUCACCUUGAUACUAGCGACAGUGUCCGAGAUUGCCACCCCAUCAAGGGUGAGGGUCUUCCCAUCUAG